GAACCUGCCUCAAAGAGGGGGACAACAGUUGGAAACGACUGCUAAUACCGCAUAAGCCCACGGCUCGGCAUCGAGCAGAGGGAAAAGGAGCAAUCCGCUUUGAGAUGGCCUCGCGUCCGAUUAGCUAGUUGGUGAGGUAACGGCCCACCAAGGCGACGAUCGGUAGCCGGACUGAGAGGUUGAACGGCCACAUUGGGACUGAGAUACGGCCCAGACUCCUACGGGAGGCAGCAGUGGGGAAUAUUGCACAAUGGGGGAAACCCUGAUGCAGCGACGCCGCGUGGAGGAAGAAGGUCUUCGGAUUGUAAACUCCUGUUGUUGAGGAAGAUAAUGACGGUACUCAACAAGGAAGUGACGGCUAACUACGUGCCAGCAGCCGCGGUAAAACGUAGGUCACAAGCGUUGUCCGGAAUUACUGGGUGUAAAGGGAGCGCAGGCGGGAGAACAAGUUGGAAGUGAAAUCCAUGGGCUCAACCCAUGAACUGCUUUCAAAACUGUUUUUCUUGAGUAGUGCAGAGGUAGGCGGAAUUCCCGGUGUAGCGGUGGAAUGCGUAGAUAUCGGGAGGAACAUCAGUGGCGAAGGCGGCCUACUGGGCACCAACUGACGCUGAGGCUCGAAAGUGUGGGUAGCAAACAGGAUUAGAUACCCUGGUAGUCCACACCGUAAACGAUGAUUACUAGGUGUUGGAGGAUUGACCCCUUCAGNGCCGCAGUUAACACAA
rnacentral:rRNA from 1 species